rnacentral:rRNA from 1 species
AGAGUUUGAUCCUGGCUCAGGAUGAACGCUAGCUACAGGCUUAACACAUGCAAGUCGAGGGGAAACGACAUCGAAAGCUUGCUUUUGAUGGGCGUCGACCGGCGCACGGGUGAGUAACGCGUAUCCAACCUGCCCACCACUUGGGGAUAACCUUGCGAAAGUAAGACUAAUACCCAAUGAUAUCUCUAGAAGACAUCUGAAAGAGAUUAAAGAUUUAUCGGUGAUGGAUGGGGAUGCGUCUGAUUAGCUUGUAGGCGGGGUAACGGCCCACCUAGUCAACGAUGGAUAGGGGUUCUGAGAGGAAGGUCCCCCACAUUGGAACUGAGACACGGUCCAAACUCCUACGGGAGGCAGCA